rnacentral:rRNA from 1 species
GAUGAACGCUGGCGGCGUGCCUAAUACAUGCGAGUCGAGCGAACGGACGAGAAGCUUGCUUCUCUGAUGUUAGCGGCGGACGGGUGAGUAACACGUGGAUAACCUACCUAUAAGACUGGGAGAACGUCGGGAAACCGGAGCUAAUACCGGAUAAUAUUUUGAACCGCAUGGUUCAAAAGUGAAAGACGGUCUUGCUGGCACGUAUAGAUGGAUCCGCGCUGCAUUAGCUAGUUGGUAAGGUAACGGCUUACCAAGGCAACGAUGCAUAGCCGACCUGAGAGGGUGAUCGUCCCCACUGCCCCUUGGACACGGUCCCUCCUCCUCCGCCCGCCCGCCGUAUGCCCUCUUCCGCAAUGGGCGACAGCCUGACGGAGCCACGCCGCGUGACUGAUGAAGUUCUUCGCAUCGUAAAACUCUGUUAUUAGGGACGACCCUCUCUGUAAGUAACUGUGCACAUCUUGACGGUACCUAAUCAGAAAGCCACGGCUAACUACGU